rnacentral:rRNA from 1 species
UACGUAGGGCGCAAGCGUUAUCCGGAAUUACUGGGCGUAAAGGGCGCGUAGGCGGCCGAUCAAGUCAGAUGUGAAAGUCCUGGGCUUAACCUGGGGACUGCAUUUGAUACUGAUUGGCUUGAAUUCGGGAGAGGAUAGCGGAAUUCCCAGUGUAGAGGUGAAAUUCGUAGAUAUUGGGAAGAACACCGGUGGCGAAGGCGGCUAUCUGGACCGACAUUGACGCUGAGGCGCGAAAGCGUGGGGAGCAAACAGG